rnacentral:rRNA from 1 species
UACGUAGGGCGCAAGCGUUGUCCGGAAUUAUUGGGCGUAAAGAGCUCGUAGGCGGUUUGUCGCGUCUGCUGUGAAAACCUAAGGCUCAACCUUGGGCUUGCAGUGGGUACGGGCAGACUAGAGUGCGGUAGGGGUGACUGGAAUUCCUGGUGUAGCGGUGGAAUGCGCAGAUAUCAGGGAGGAACACCGAUGGCGAAGGCGGGUUGCUGGGCCGACACUGACGCUGGAGGCGCGGAAAGCCUAGGGGAGCGAACGGG